GACGAACGCUGGCGGCGUGCUUACCACAUGCAAGUCGAACGAAGUGGCGAACGGGUGAGUAACGCGUAAUCAACCUGCCCUUCAGAGGGGGACAACAGGUGGAAACGACUGAUAAUACCGCAUACUGACGGAGGGGAUUGCGUCUGAUUAGCUAGUUGGAGGGGUAACGGCCCACCAGGGCGAUGAUCAGUAGCCGGUCUGAGAGGAUGACCAGCAACACUGGAACUGAGACACGGUCCAGACUCCUACGGGAGGCAGCAGUGGGGAAUAUUGCACAAUGGGCGCAAGCCUGAUUCAGCCAUGCCGCGUGUGUGAAGAAGGCCUUCGGGUUGUAAAGCACUUUCAUCGGGGAGCGUUACCCGCAGAAGAAGCACCGGCUAACUCCGUGCCAGCAGCCGCGGUAAUAC
rnacentral:rRNA from 1 species